CGCGUAGGCGGUUGUGAUAGUCAGAUGUGAAAUCCUCCGGCUCAACUGGAGAACUGCAUCUGAAACUUCAUAACUCGAGUACAGGAGAGGGAAACGGAAUUCCCGGUGUAGAGGUGAAAUUCGUAGAUAUCGGGAGGAACACCAGUGGCGAAGGCGGGUAACUGGACUGCAACUGACGCUGAGGCGCGAAAGUGUGGGGAGCAAACA
rnacentral:rRNA from 1 species